rnacentral:rRNA from 1 species
AGAGUUUGAUCCUGGCUCAGAACAAACGCUGGCGGCGUGUCUGAAUGAUGCGAGUCGAACGAAAACGUACCCUUCGGGGUACUAGUAAAGUGGCGAACGGGUGAGUAACAUGUGUGCAACCUGCCUCUGGAAGGGGGAUAACACCUUGAAAAGGGUGCUAAUACCGCAUAGAGUUGCGCGACGCAAGUCGCGUAAUGAAAGGUGGCCUCUACUUGGUAAGCUAUCGUCCAGAGAUGGGCACGCCGUCCUAUUAGCUAGUUUGUGAGGUAACGGCUCACCAAGGCAACGAUGGGUAGCCGGCCUGAGAGGGUGAACGGCCAUACUGGGAUUGAGAUACGGCCCAGACUCCUACGGGAGGCAGCAAAUCGGAAUAAUCGCCAAUAGGAGCAAUCCUGAGCGUGCGACGCCGCGUGAGCGAUGAAGGCCUUCGGGUUGUAAAGCUCUGUGUUACGGGAAGAAACCCUGGUAGGUUAAUAAGCUACCAGAUUGACGGUACCGCAAUAAAAAGCCCCGGCUAACUACGUGCCAGCAGCCGCGGUAAUACGUAGAAAACAAGCGUUGUUCGGAAUCACUGGGCGUAAAGGGCGUACAGGCGGCCACAUAAGUCGGGUGUGAAAUCCUCAGGCUUAACCUGAGGUCUGCAUCCGAUACUGCGUGGCUUGAGAUCAGGAGAGGAGAGUGGAAUAAGUGGUGUAGCGGUGAAAUGCGUAGAUAUCACUUAGAACACCGGUGGCGAAGGCGGCUCUCUGGCCUGAUUCUGACGCUGACGCGCGAAAGCUAGGGUAGCGAACGGGAUUAGAUACCCCGGUAGUCCUAGCCGUAAACGAUGGGUACUAAGUGUAGGAGGUCAUUGACCCCUCCUGUGCUGUAGCUAACGCAUUAAGUACCCCGCCUGGGGACUACGGUCGCAAGACUAAAACUCAAAGGAAUUGACGGG